UACGUAGGGUGCAAGCGUUGUCCGGAAUUAUUGGGCGUAAAGAGCUCGUAGGCGGUUUGUCGCGUCUGCUGUGAAAACUCGGGGCUUAACUCCGGGCCUGCAGUGGGUACGGGCAGACUAGAGUGCGGUAGGGGAGACUGGAAUUCCUGGUGUAGCGGUGAAAUGCGCAGAUAUCAGGAGGAACACCGGUGGCGAAGGCGGGCCUCUGGGCCGUAACUGACGCUGAGGAGCGAAAGCGUGGGGAGCGAACGGG
rnacentral:rRNA from 1 species